UCCGGUUUGUCACCGGCAGUCCCAUUAGAGUGCCCAACUGAAUGUGGCAACUAAUGGCAAGGGUGGCGCUCGUUGCGGGACUUAACCCAACAUCUCACGACACGAGCUGACGACAGCCAUGCAGCACCUCGACAACUGCCCUUGCGGGAGCCGGCUUUCGCCGGAUGUCAGUUGCCGUUCGAGCCUGGGUAAGGUUCUUCGCGUUGCGUCGAAUUGAACCACAUGCUCCACCGCUUGUGCGGGCCCCCGUCAAUUCCUUUGAGUUUCAGCCUUGCGGCCGUACUCCCCAGGCGGGGCACUUACUGCGUUAGCGACGGCACCGGGAGGGUCGCUCCCCCCGACGCCUAGUGCCCAUCGUUUACUGCUAGGACUAC
rnacentral:misc_RNA from 1 species